AUGCUCCGGCUCCGAGAGUGCGUCUUUUCCCGUCUCCUCUCUCCUUACUCCAUCUCUGCUACCUCCCCGCUGCUUCGCCUCCUCUCCGCAUCCGCAUUCCCGAAUCCCAGUGGCUUCGCUGUCGAGGAGUACCUCGUCGCCACCUGCGGCCUCACCCGGGCCCAAGCCAUCAAGGCCUCCCCGAAGCUCGCCCACCUCAAGACCCCCGACAAGCCGAACGCCGUCCUCGCCUUCCUCUCCGGCCUCGGCCUCUCCGGCGCCGACGUCGCCGCCGUCGUCGCCAAAGACCCGCGGCUACUCUUCGCCAAAGUGGACAAAACCCUGGCCCCUAAGGCCGUCAGGCUCGCCGGCAUAGGUCUCUCGCGUCCUGAGAUCGCCCGCCUCGUCUCCCUCGGCCCCGAGUGCUUCCGCUCCAGACACAUCGUCUCCAAGCUGCACUACUACCAUCCCCUCUUCGGCUCCUUCCACAACUUCCUCCGGGCGUACGAGCGCUCCUCCUAUCUUCUCUCGCGGGACCUUGAUACGACGAUCAAGCCCAAUGUCGCGCUUCUGCACGAGUGCGGGCUAGCUGCUUGUGAUAUUGUCAAGCUGGUCAUGUAUAGGCGGGGGAUCCUGACCACCAACCCGGGGCGCCUCCGGGCGAUGGUGGCAUGCGCCGAAGGUAUAGGCGUUCCCCGUGCCUCUGGGAUGUUCAGACAAGCACUGUGCGCUGUCGCAUUCCAAAGCGAGGACAAGAUUGCCGCCAAAGUGGACUACUUGAAGACCACGCUCAGGUGGUCUGCUGCUGAGGUGGGCAUCGCUGUGUCUAAGGCUCCGAUGCUGCUGAGGAGGUCAAAGGACACGCUGCAGAGCAAGUCCGAGUUCCUGGUAUCUGAGGUGGGGUUGGAACCAACGCUCAUUGCUCAUCGCCCGAUAGUUCUCACUUACAGCCUGGAGGGCCGGCUCAGGCCCCGGCACUACGUUCUAAAGUUUGUCAAGGCAAGUGGGUUGCUAGAUCGUGAUCACAGCUACAUCUGCGCGGUCGGUUUGACGGAGAAUGUUUUCGUGAAGAAGUUUGUGCGCCCUCAAAUCGAAGCUGCGCCGCACCUUGCUGAAGACUAUGCGGCUGCUUGCCGAGGAGAAGUACCCACUAGGUUCAUAUUUGAUUGA
rnacentral:rRNA from 1 species